GAUGAACGCUGGCGGCGUGCCUAAUACAUGCAAGUCGAGCGAACAGACGAGGAGCUUGCUCCUCUGACGUUGGCGGCGGACGGGUGAGUAACACGUGGAUAACCUACCUAUAAGACUGGGAUAACUUCGGGAAACCGGAGCUAAUACCGGAUAAUAUAUUGAACCGCAUGGUUCAAUAGUGAAAGACGGUUUUGCUGUCACUUAUAGAUGGAUCCGCGCCGCAUUAGCUAGUUGGUAAGGUAACGGCUUACCAAGGCAACGAUGCGUAGCCGACCUGAGAGGGUGAUCGGCCACACUGGAACUGAGACACGGUCCAGAGUCCUACGGGAGGCAGCAGUAGGGAAUCUUCCGCAAUGGGCGAAAGCCUGACGGAGCAACGCCGCGUGAGUGAUGAAGGUCUUCGGAUCGUAAAACUCUGUUAUUAGGGAAGAACAAAUGUGUAAGUAACUAUGCGCGUCUUGACGGUACCUAAUCAGAAAGCCACGGCUAACUACGUG
rnacentral:rRNA from 1 species